GGUGUUGCGUGUGUGCUGAGCGGUCAGCCCUUCGAAGCGGUCAAGGUGAAGAUGCUACGAGACCUGCCAGCAGCUCACCAGUAGAGUCUUUGGGCUGGGGAAAGGGUCUCACCUCAGAAUGCCCUGUCUGGGUCCCUGGCGUCUGUCUUGUCCUCGCUGGUUUUGUGUCCCACAGACUGUGAGAUGAGGAUGGUGGGAAAGACCCCCCUUGCGUCACACAUUUCCACCUGGUCGGUGGCGAGGGACAUAUUGAAGACAGAUGGUCCUCAAGGCCUCUUCCAGGGAAUGACCAGCACCUGGCUCAGAGAGGUGCCUGGAUACUUCCUCUUCUUUGGGGGCUAUGAGAUCUGCAGAAUCCGUUACCAUGAGGCCGU